AAUGAAAUGCCUCAUAAAAAGGAUUACUCUCUGAUAGGGUAAGUCCUUUUUAUCAGGCAAUUCAUUY
rnacentral:tRNA from 1 species